rnacentral:rRNA from 1 species
UGGGGAAUUUUGGACAAUUGGGCGAAAGCCUGAUCCAGCAAUGCCGCGUGUGUGAAGAAGGCCUUCGGGUUGUAAAGCACUUUUGUCCGGAAAGAAAUCCUUGGCUCUAAUACAGUCGGGGGAUGACGGUACCGGAAGAAUAAGCACCGGCUAACUACGUGCCAGCAGCCGCGGUAAUACGUAGGGUGCAAGCGUUAAUCGGAAUUACUGGGCGUAAAGCGUGCGCAGGCGGUUUGCUAAGACCGAUGUGAAAUCCCCGGGCUCAACCUGGGAACUGCAUUGGUGACUGGCAGGCUAGAGUAUGGCAGAGGGGGGUAGAAUUCCACGUGUAGCAGUGAAAUGCGUAGAGAUGUGGAGGAAUACCGAUGGCGAAGGCAGCCCCCUGGGCCAAUACUGACGCUCAUGCACGAAAGCGUGGGGAGCAAACAGGAUUAGAUACCCCUGGUAGUCCACGCCCUAAACGAUGUCAACUAGUUGUUGGGGACUUCAUUUCCUUAGUAACGUAGCUAACGCGUGAAGUUGACCGCCUGGGGA